rnacentral:lncRNA from 1 species
GCCUCUCUCCCUGAAGAACUUUUUGCGGUGGAGACCUCUUGUUGUCACAAUGUGGCUGUUUUUAGCGGAAAGUCAAUGAAAGGAUUUUCCCCAAAAUCACAGACCGCAUGACGGAAAGAAACUGUGAUUAGGAGUUGCUCAAGAUGCGCGAGGAUUCUGACGACAACAUCCGGAGCAAUAUCCAGAUCGUUCCUUCUUGUUUUAACCUGAUUAUUUAUUCACUUUUCUGGAGUGUUACUCAUUGACGGGGGUGGGGGUGUGUGCCAGGCGAGAUAGAUAUAUUAGCUGCAUCUCUCAAAUUCUCAGCACAUAGUGAGGAGCUGUAACAGUAACUGCAACUCGGCUCAAGUUAAACACCAAAGGACUCGAGGGGCAAGACAUGGAGAUGCUGAAAGCUGCAUUUUUCUUUCUCUUGUUUGUGGCAGUAGUGUCGGCAAGACCGGCUGACAAAAAUGGCCAUAGACGUUUCAGACUUGGGCACGGCCAAAAUUCAAGGCUAACUCAUCGCAGGCAUUCAUCAGAUUCAUCGGAUUCAUCGGACUCAAAAUCCUCAGAGUCAUCGGAUUCGGACGAGUCCAGUGAGGAGACAACCACCCAAGUCACACGUAGGACCACAACCCCAACAACCACCAGAAGUACAACAACCUCUGUGGUCAUUCCAGAGACAACCCCACCCAUCAUCACCGAGAAAACAACCCCAGUCACCAUUCCUGAGAUAUCCAGCACAGCGGAGACUGCAACCCCAGUGAUCAUCACUGAGAAAACAACCCCAGUCACCAUUCCCGAGAUAUCCAGCACAGCGGAGACCGCAACCCCAGUGAUCAUCACUGAGAAAACAACCCCAGUGGUCAUUCCUGAGACGACCCCACCCAUCACCAGUGCGAGAACAACCGGAACCCCGGUGAAUCAAUCGACCACAGAAGUUACAACCUCAUGUGGUGCUGCUACAUGUUUUACAAUAAACAUAACAACAACCACCCAGAGAGGGGACAACUGAAGUUAGUCUUCUACUAAGUAGGCUGUUUUAAUUUGAAAAUAUUAAUUUUAAUUCACUGAAGGGAUCACUUUGAAAAUGGUUUACUUGACGAUGUAAUACGGUAAAGUAUAUAUCUAUAUGUGUCAGCUGUUAUGACUUAUUGACCUCUUCCUUGUUAUUUGCUUGAUAACACUACAACCUAUUAAAGUCUACCACCAACCGAAAGUUUCACGUGACCUUGUUUGCGCUUGGUAUAAUGAUGGA